rnacentral:rRNA from 1 species
AUUUGUGGUUUGCCCAGUGUUCCUAGCACUAGUUGUUAGUGAAGCACUUGGUUAUCCAUCCUUGGGCGGAAUCUGUGUGGCAUUAGGUUGUCGUGCAGGGGACGCCCAUCUUUUACUGUGAAAAAAUUAGAGUGUUCAAAGCAGGCUUAUGCCGUUGAAUAUAUUAGCAUGGAAUAAUGAGAUAGGACCUUGGUACUAUUUUGUUGGUUUGCGCACCGAGGUAAUGAUUAAUAGGGACAGUUGGGGGUAUUCGUAUUCCAUUGUCAGAGGUGAAAUUCUUGGAUUUUUGGAAGACGAACUACUGCGAAAGCAUUUACCAAGGAUGUUUUC